ensembl:snRNA U6 U6 spliceosomal RNA
GUGCUCAUUUGAGCAGCACAUCUACAAAAACUGGAAAGAUGCAGAGAAGACUAGCAUGGCCCCUAUGCGAGCAUGAUGUCUAGACAGAUGAAGUGGUCCACAUUUUU